CCCAGCGCCUGUGCAGCUGCAGAUGCUCUGGGACACACCGGGACCACCAGAAAGCCUUCCCUGCGAGGGGUGGGCGUGACUGACAGCUCGUGUAUGAGCAUUUGUGCGCGAGCGUGUUUACCGGGCCGGACAUCCGCUCUGUGAGAGCUGCUGAUUUACUGAGUGAUGCUGUUACCUGGGUCGGGUAAGAGGAAGCUCAGGGAGAGCAGCGGUGUGGACGGAACCACAGCAGCACCUCUGCCGCCUGGGUGGAGCUUUCAGGUCCCGGUCUCUCCCACCUGCCUUCCUCCUUCCCAGUCCCUGAGAUUAUUUUAGGGUUCCAACCAGACAAGGAAAACACUUUAAUUUAUAGACAACCAACUCCUAGGCCCAGAGACUAUGGCUUUUACUGCACAAUUGUUGCUUUUUAGGGUGGCAGGUGAUAGUGUCAGAAUUAUUCUGAGACCAAAAAUGAAGGUCAAUUAAAUGGAGUUUGUAAUUACAUAGUUCACAAAUGUCUUGUGAACUAAUCAAGUCAUAUUCCACCUUCACUGGCUGCCCAGUUGGACACACUAAUGAUUUUUUGAGGCUGUGUACACAGGCCAGGUCCCACAUACAAUUGCAUAACGUGUGAGAAAAGAAUCUUUUCUUUUCCUCAGGCCUUUAGUAAGACAAGUCUGUGUGGAUAUCAGAUGAGUGACAUCAGACUGGCUGGUUCUAUUGAACACUUUUUUCCCUAACGUUUUAGCGUGUAUAUUUACUACUUCCUGUCUCUCAUGGUGACCAGCUGCUAACAUGACACUGCAGAAUAUGAACAGGAGAGGAGAGAAGGUAUAGAAUCAGCCGGAGGGGCUGUCUGGCUGCGCGUGGUCCUCUUUUGGCAAAUCUGACUGGGCACCAUUUCACAUUUUUGACAGCAUCACCGCCAAGUCUGAGAGCCCACGCGCACCGUCCUGGGGGUGUCGGCCACAGUCCCACCCUCUCAGCUGAGCGCGAUGUCACGGUGGCCAGCGUGGGGUCCGUGUGGCACCAAGUGACACUGACCUGGGGGGGCUUCCACCACGCCGACAAGCUCCUCCUGUGAAGGUGACGAUACAGCACCCUGGAAAAUUAGCCAAAACAUUUAGAGGUUUUACAUGUAUCUCCUGUGGUUUCUGAAGUUUAAGAAAACAAAAACAAAAGCAAAAACAAACAAAUAAACAAACAACUCAGAACUAGCACGACACGACAGAGCUGCAGUUUCUGUUGACAAGGCCAGCGUGGCUGGGGUCCCUGGGCGGCGUUUUGUUUCUCCGCGUGGAGCCCAGCUGUUUACCCUUCCUCCCCGGGAGCCUUGCCUCUCCUUCAGAAGUACCACUUUGGCCACAAUUGAUACAGUUAAACCUGUCUGCUGUUCAGAGCUGCUAAUAGAUCUACAAAGUCACGGUCCCUCCUGUGGAUGUGCAAAUUGAAUAAAUGGUCCAAACUGAAGGCAUUAAAAAAAAUUGAAAGAUGAAAAAGAAUAUUCAAAGAUGCCCGGAAGACCAGCCAACAUCAGUCUCCCACCACAUCCUCACUGAUUCAUGUCUUAACCUGUGUCUCAGGCCCCUUUCGGAGCAUAAGAUUUUGGAAACCUCUCAGAUACAAGCCGUCUUGAACUCUGUCCUAGCUUCAGUAUUUCACACCGGGUGACAGUGCGUAGAAUCCCAGGUCCCUCUUGGUUCCCACCACCCCCAGAACAGGCUCCUUGCAACGUGACAGCCUCUUUCCCGGCUUCAGCACGCCGCCCUUCUCUUUCUAGAUUCUCUCUCUGGAGUAUCCAUCUCCCAUAGGCUCAGUCUUCCCAACUCCCCAAACCACGUCUGGUCUCUCCUCUCCAGCAGGCACCGGGUUUUUUCUGGAGGGCCAUGCGAGACCUCACGCUCAGCAGAGCUGGGGGCUGCCCCCCUUCCCCUGCCCAGAACCAGCUGGAAAGGACCAUGUGGUCAUCUGCGUGCCCUGCCUCACCCUGGUAGGAUGCCAGCAGGGCAUCCUCUUCCUUCCUUCUUUCCACGUGUCUUUCUUAUUUGUGACUUGAGGAUGUUCCCAGGCUCCAGUGUGGGUCAGGGCUCCCCGAUUCUACCCCUGCUGAGACUCUGUUCUGCAAACGGGCGAUGGAGCAGAUGGUGAAGUGCCACACUGCACCCCUGCUCGGAGCCCACAGUGGCUGUCAUCGUCCAGCCUCUAGGAUCUGGGCAUGACAUCCAGCAAGCACGUGCUGCUUAGGAUGCUCCUGGCACUUUUCAGAUGAUUUGCGAGUAUCAACUCAUUUAAUCCUCAGAAUGACUGCCAUGAGCUGAAAGUUUGUGUCCUCCCCAAAUUCAUACACGGAAACCUUAAUCCCCAGUGUGAUGGUUUUGGGAAGCGAGGACUUGGGGGGUAAUAAGAGUUGGAUGAGGUCAUGAGGGUGGAGCCCCCAUGGUGGGAUUGGUGCCCUUAUAAAGAGAUGGAGGGUCCAUGUGAAGACAUGACAGAAGGCAGCUGUCUGUCUACAACCGGGAAGCCAGCCUUCACCAGACACCAGAUCUUCCGGCUUCUUGCUCUUGGACUUCUCAGCCUCCAGAACUGAGAAAUAAGUCUUGGCUAUUUAAGCUCCCUUGGUCUAUGGUGCCUUUGUUACACUAGACAAAACUAGAGCAAUAAUCUUACAAGGAAGUUGUUGUUAUAGUCACUGUACAAACGGAAGCCUGGGCCCCAGAGGUUACGUGAUUUGCCCAAGUCACCCAGCUCGUAAGUGUUACGGUCGGUCUCACUGGGCUUCUGAUACCCUUUGUCACUUACGUCUCACUUCCCUCCUUCUCUCAGCUGCACGCCGGAGGGCCUCCCAGCACAGAGGGCACUCUGGUCUCCGUGCCUCUGGCCGUCUGCAUGCCCCUUCCCCUCUCCUCCCCCAUCCAGUGCUGCCCCCUGUGCCCCUCCCCGGGCAUCGGGCCCUAGCCUGUGGGUCACCUUCCCCUGAGACCGCAGGGGGCAGGCUGUGAGCCUGGGAGGGCGGAGGCUUCGCACGCCUCUUUGUGCACGGUCACGUCCACAACUGUGCACAGUGACUGGCGCUUCCUGGCACUUUUUAACAAGGCACCUCUUUGGGUUGGCCCAUGUUCCAGGGGAGAGAGUUACAGGAAGGUACCAGGUUAUAUUGACUUUAGGUGUUAUAGCCCAAAAUAGAAGACUGAUUUUUAAAGUCAACCUUAAAAGAAAUUAUUUUUAAAGCAACCAUUCACAAUAUGACCGCAGUCUUGUGAGAGACCCAGCGUUGAAAGAACAUUGCAGAGCAUCAAUUUCAGGCUGACUUUCUGGCUUGUACCCACGACAGGCUAUUCGGAGUGUGACACUGGUCUUGGAGGUGCUAUCAAAGUAGGGUGGCAGCCGCUCCGGCAUCAGCAUUUACACUGAAGUUAUUAAGCAGGAACUCCAGAAAGGGCGGGGCUUGAAACAGGCAAAAACUUGCAAAGUUUGGGAUUCUGUUCAACCUUCUCACAGCCAGCCAGCCCUACUGGAAGCACUGAGCAGCAGAGGCGGGCGAAUCAGCAUUUGAAGAUGGAUCUAGGCUGAAUUUGGAGAUUUUGACUCAGCCGUCAGCUGAAAUUCAGCAGUUUCUCCUGAAGCUUUUGGUGACCUUUUGGUUUCAUUUAAGCUCAAUGCCAAAGGCAACGGGCGAGUGGAUGGAUUGGCAAACUCCUGAGUGAAGGUUGCACCACAGAGAUUCUGAGAUCAAUUUAUCCACCGCAGAACUAAAGUGAAUCUCCUCUGGGUUUUCCUUUCCAUAAAGGAGGAAUGUGGGGUCAGGCGGGAAUUAGAGACCAGUUGAGCCGGGUUGGGAGGAGCGUGGCGCCCGGGCAGGAGGCAUGAACGGACCCCAGCACCCGCCCCUGCCGUGCUCAGCAGCCCCGUCACACUGUCCGGGUACAGGUUCUCAUAAAGAGACUGCGGGCAAGUGUUCGGCUGAAGCUGAGUGCUUCCCCCUCUCAGCACAGUUAUGUGUUUCUGAAUAGCACCCGGAGCGCCCUUUGAAUGUGAAGAUGGGUUAGAGCAAAACAUCACAGUGUACCUGCACCCCUGCCAACCCUGUUUAACGUGCCUGCGGUUUCUGGCAUUCAGGGGAUGCGUGGCUUUAGCUUGUGCUUUUAUGCGCCUGGUCUGCAGCUUGUUCAUCCAGGCUGGAGAUACUCAUAAACAGAGAAACAAAGGGAGACAUAAAAUAUUAAUACUGUGUCCGUAUUGCAGUAUAAUAAGCAGCAGUGAGCCUGUGCUGAGCUGUCGGGACGCACGCUAGACUGUAAAAUGUGAGCUGGGGCUGGAUUCUUCAUUAUCUCGUGGACCCGAAGCCUUGCUAGUCACAUUAUUCUCUUCCAGACUCAUUUCAGAACAUUUUCGCUGCAGUGCUGUGGUGGCGGGGUGGCUUCCUCAGGCUUUUUUGGUAUGAAUGAUUUCUCCUUCCACUUCUUGGGGAUCCUGCUCCCUCCUUUCUGUGUCACCCAAGCACGGUGCGUCUUCCCCUCUGGGGAGGGCCCUCGUCUGACUGAACCGCCCCUCCACCAGCCCCUUCAUCAACGAUUUUCUCCCUUGAGUCUCACUGCGUCACAGCCUGGUCCUUCUGGCCGAUCCCUCCCUAAGACUUGGAAGAUGUCUGUCACCCUGGUGAGGUGGGGACCUUGGUACCUCUGCAUCUACUCAUGCCUUUUUUGGAUCUACCGACGUGCGGCUCGCAGGAUUGAACUUGUGCCUGAACAGGAACCUUAAUGCACGGGGCCUGGACUCCCUGCUGGCCAUUCAGGGCCAUGAGCGGAAAUGGACGGGGAGGAGACUUGGACACAAUGUCAUGACUAACACUUAGGACUGCCCAUCAGUGAUGGUCCAUUCGGGAGUCAGCGCGUGAGAGGCUGCUGCUGCUGGGUGUGUAGGUGCUGCGGUUUGCCUGGCCCAGCGCUAGCUCGCCUUAUCCGGUUCCCUCUGCCAGAUCAAAUAGGAACGAUGCCUGUUGGAAAAAUGAGCUGAAGCCGGGACUAUGACGUUGAGCUAUUGAAUUGCUCUGAUGGACUCCAGAGCCUGAUACAGCCACACCUGGCAGCCACAGCCUCAGCGUUGUCUGGCUGCUCAUCACCUUUGCAGUGACUGUUAACAGGAUACUUCCUGCUCCAGGGUCUAUGGCUGUAAACGCUGCCCCCCUGCACCCCUAGCAAAUGCACGUGAGACGGGCUGGAGGCGUGCUGGAGCCGUGCUAGGUGCGGAGCUCUUCUCCUCUCUCCCUGACCCUUCAGGCCAUGUCUGCUCUGUGUUUGCCAUUCUAGCACAUCCAAGCAUCCCAGGCUGCUGACAUCAACAGACUGGGCCCAAAAGGCAACAGUUGUCCCUAGAAGGGUGUCAGGACUUGAAGGGUGUGCGUUUUUACCCUACUGGUGAGCUCACACAUUAGCUGCAGUUUCCUGGAGGCUGAUAGAAGACACAGUACUCCUGGCUCUGAGACGAAGGAGUUCACUGAGCGCGGCAGAGCAGGGUGUUUGGCAGCAUCCGUGGCCUCUACUCACCAGAUGCUGUUGGCAUCCCCACCCCAAUGAUAAACAGCAAAGAUGUCUCCAGACUUUGCCAAAUGUCCACUGAGGGGCAAUCCAACCAUUUCUCUAUAGUGGGCACAAACAUGUAUUCACUACUUAAACACCCUCAAGAAGAAAGAGCAGCCUUAAAGCAAAGGGCAGGUGAGUGUUGCGUUGCCUGGGCUGGUCUGGAAGGCAGUGAUGCUCAGUGUCUGGUCAGGGUGUAGGAGAGAUCUGUAAGAUACCUCAUGAGCUAUACACCCAGCCUCAGAUAAGACAUUGUUUUUGAUGAAAGGAAGGUCAUUCAGUAGACUUUUAACAUUUGAUUAAGGCCUACUUACCAGUACCCUAUGAAGUUACUAAGGGCCAAUAAAAUCAGAUUUUUAAACCAGAGAUACACCAAACUACAACACACCUAGAGUUGAAACUCAACCAUCAGCUGAGUAUUGCCAUUGCAGAAUAAAUGUCUAGGACAUAAGAAUAAAUCUAAAUUUUAUUUUAAAAAGUGAUCACUAUUUUCUGGUGGUCAGAUUCUAAGUCUGAUAGAUUGCUUUUAUGGUCAUCCUACUGUGUACAUUUGUGACGGAAAAUAUUUGCUUAAUUUCUGCUGAAGAAGUUAGAGCAUAUGUGUGACCAGCAUGAGGUGCUGAGGCCACGGCCACUGAGAUGAAGGUGGUUUGGUGGUCCAGCCACUGAAGGUGAUAUUGCCAGCAUUAUAUUUUGUGAUAGUAAAUGUAAAUUUAUACUUCAGCUGAUUGACAAAUGUUAACAUAUAAAAAAAUUAGAGGAUUUUCACUCCAACUUAUAUCUUUAAUACAUAAUUUUGAAAGUCAAUGUUUAGACGUGGACAAUAAACCCAAGUGAACUGAUUUGUCCAAAGUGCUGGCAAUCUUAUGCUGACUGGACAUGAGGGCAGCCUAUGAAUCACGUGACUGUCGAGCAGUCACAAUUAGGGGGCCAGCAAUGACCUGGAUGCAGGCAUUUGGCUGAUUUCCAUUCUAAAGGCCAAACAUGAGUCAAAUAGCAGAUUUUGACUAAACAUUGAUUCUUCAACCUAGUUUACUGAGGAUUAAUUCAGAUUAUCCUGAGAAAUCUGGCUCAUCUACAAAACUGGGCACCAUGGCCAAUUUCCUACUGCAGAUAAAACAUGAAAGGCAGAUGCUACGUUCUUUCACAGCUCUUGACUUUCUCAUUUUCACUGGCUGUUCUUCUUGACUUUAAUGAUAAACUACUAUUAAUUCAGCCUUACCAUUACUAAUAUAAGUUUUUCCCUAUAAUUCUAUCUGUUGACAUGUAACUAUUCACUGUUGUCAUUUGAAUUAAUUAUAUUUUUAAUUUUAUUUUCACUAUGUACAAAAUAGAAAAGAACUUUAAUACACAUUCAGGAAGCAUUCUGUUUAGUAAAACAAAAGCAAUCUAAAAGACAAAUGAGCAAAGAAUCGUGGAGAGACAAUUCACAAGUUUGGUUUUCAUGGUGUUUCAUCAGGAUUAGACUCAGGCCAUGCAUUUUUGGCAGGAAUUCUGCAGAGCUGCCCCUGUACCCUCAGAGCAUCACACCAGGUUGGCUUGGGAAUUUGUUCCAUCACUGACAAUGUUAACAUUGAUUAUUUGGCUUAGCUGAUAUUCACCAGAUUUCUGCACUAUAUAAUGUUGUCAUUUGAAUUAAUUACAUUUUUUCCCUAAAAUCGAGUAUGGAAACUUAAGGCCACAUGCACUGUGGUUUAAAUAUGAUUCUCUACCAUUCCCUUGACUGUGAGAUGCCAAGACAUUUGGUCAAACAUUAUCCUGAAUGUGUCUGUGAGGUUGUUUUUGGAUGUGAUUAACAUGUGAAUAGGUAGACUGAGUAAAGCAGAUUGCCCUCGUUAAUGUGAGUGAUCCUCAUCCAAGCUCUUGAAGGCUGAAUAGCACGAAAUGGUUCAGUAAGAGGGAAAUUCACCUGCCUGCCUUUUGGAGCUGGACAUUGAAUUUCUCCUGCCCUGGGACUGGAAUCUACACCAUCAGCUCUUCUUGUUCUCAGGUCUUCAGACUUGGACUGAAGCUACACCACUGGCUUUCCUGGGUCUCCAGCUUGUUGACUACAGGUUGUGGGAUUUCACUGCCUCCAUAAUCACACGAACCUAUUUUUGUAACAAAUCAUCUCUCUCUCUCUCCCUAUUGGAUCAGUUUCUCUGGAGAACUAAUAAAGGGGACUAUCUCAUAAAAAACAGAA